GCCUGGCUGGCUCAGUCGGUGGAGUGUGCAACUUUUGAUCUCAAGGUUGUGAGUUCAAGUUCCACGCUGGGUA
rnacentral:tRNA from 1 species